rnacentral:snRNA from 1 species
GUGCUCACUUCGGCAGCACAUAUACUAAAAUUGGAACGAUACAGAGAAGAUUAGCAUGGCCCCUGCACAAGGAUGAGACACAAAUUUGUGAAGCGUUCCAUAUUUUA